UAACCGCAAGAUUAAGGACUUUUCUCUCAUUUCAGGGUUGCUCAGACUUUGCAGCACCUUAGAAUUACCUGGUAAAAUUGGAAAGGACUGGUGUCUGGACCCCAGGCAGGAUCAGUUGUAUCUGUAGAUUAAGGGAAGGGGGUGUGGAAGGCAACAGCACUUUGAAAUUUACCUAGGCGACAUAAAUAUUCAACUAAUUGUGACAGCCACAGCAUUAAGGUUGGAGAACAGCGAAUUCAUGGCAAUCAGUGAAGAAAGAACCAAUUAAAUUACUUUCUGGAUCACCUGGUGUGGACUCAAACCCAGGCAGGCACUCCUCCUCUGUGACCUCACUCAACUCUGACUCCCAGAACUCCAUAUCUGGCAGCCACCGUUUCAGGUUUCAGUUACCUGAGGUCAACUGUGGUCCGAGGUCCAGAAGGAACGGUCUUCCUUCUGAUGCAUCAGUUGUGGUCUCAGGCUACAUCACAGUGCAUACCAGCACUCACCUCACUCCACCUCAUCACCUAGGCAUUUGAUCAAUCUCAUAUCAUCACAAUAAGGCACCUUAAUCCUGCAUGGUGGUAGGGUCCCCUCCCUAAGGAAAGAAAAACAAGCAAACAAACACGUCAAGGCAACCUGGAUAUAUGUGCUGCCCGGGCUUAUCGGGGACAGUCAGAUCAUUCCUGCAGGGAGAGUGAGAAUCUAAAUUAGCAGAACCGCUUUGGAAAACCAGCAGCACCCAGUGAAGCCGUACGCACACCUGUGUGUUUCAGGUACACACACAUCCCCAGCACUGCGUCCGCAACCCACAAGCUCUGGUUGGGUCCCAGCGGCUGGAGGCUGAGCAGCGCCCGGCUAGAAACUAAUCCAACGUGCGUCCGCGGGGACGGACAUUCUCCGAGGCGUCUGCACCCACCCAACUCCAGCCAUAAGAACGUACGAAUUACUGGGAUUGAAGAGUAAGAACGAUCUCAGAAGUGCGACGCUGAGCCACAGCCCCUCGGGAACAGCCCUAGGACCGCGGGUCCCAGGUGAGGAUUGACGGCUGCUCCAGGACCACGCAGGCAAGGCCCCCUGGACACUGGCGCCCCACAUCCAGGCCCCAGGGAUUUCCAGCAGCCGUGGCUCCAGGUGGCUGUGGGAGUUACUGCAGAGCGCAGGUGCUCGCUCCCAGGGCUGCUGGGGGAGGGUGGCUUGGCUGGCAGCUCCUUCCCCAGACACCACCCCUUUGAGCCUCCCCCGGAGGAGGCCGAGGACUCAGCUUUUCUCCCCAGGGGAACGGGGGAUGUGGGGGUGUCUAGGGGCUCCGUCAGGUCAAUACGGGAGGGGAAUCAAUAUUGGAGAGGGAUCCGUCUCAGCCCAGAAAGCAGUGCAGAAGAGGAGUGCGAGGCUCCCUGAGGCCACCAGCCCCUCCCCCGGUCGGGACCCUCAGCCAACCACUUCCCGGUGAUCUCCCCCUCUGCCCUGAGCACCCUGGUCCUCCAGCCUCUCUCCAGCCCCGCACCCCCCGGGGCUGCCGCCAGCUGCCCAGUCCAAGGAUGCGCGUUCCGGGGCCUGGGGCUCUGGCCCCGCUUUGCGCGCAGACCUCUGCCUCCCUCGGCGAGUCGGGGGCCCAGAACCUGCGGUGUGACCCAUCGCAGACCACCCUCCCAGGCCUGCAGAUGACUCUUCCAAAGGGAUUGCCCCCGAGCAUCCACCCCUCGGUCAAGAAUUGGCACACGCCCUUCAGGAACAGCAGCCGCCUGCCUCUUUUACAGGGUGUACAGGACCCCACAUCACCUGCACUUGGGGACACCACAGACGCAGAUACUGGGGACUCUCCCCCAAACCUUUGCUCUGCAACAGAUGCUGUUGUGAGAUUUAAAAAAAA